CUGUACUAAAAACAUUACAGUAAAGUUCUGAUGGUGAGAUUUCACACAAAACAUUUUCAUUAGGUGUUGACUGUCUACUCCUUCCGCCAUACAAUCAUCUAUCACCAAUAAUUUAUGACCUUCUAUAUCCCCCCAAUCGUUAAACUGAUCCUCGUUCGGCAAACCUUGAUGAAAAGUUAUUUCCUCCAAAUUUCGUCUCAACUCAUCAAAGACGGGCUGCCACGUGUCGUAACAUAGGAUUAUCUUUUUGACGGGUUCGCUAAACAUACCAUUGGCGUUUUCUAUAAUCUUUUGAGUCAAAACUGUCUUCCCCGAACCGGAUGCACCGCAUACCAUGAUUCGACAUGGGGAUUGAAAUUUCAGGAGACUCUCUCUACUAUACCAAGCCAUUGUCAGUCGUAAAAUGAUAACACAGAUACGAAACUUUACUAUUUACAUUUUUUAUUUCAGAUUAUGCGAAGUCUACAAAAUGUGUUUACAAUUCGGAACAACAUGAUUGAUGAGCAUGCAUUCUAUCAAAACAGUAAGGAAAUGAGUUCUGAAUGAAUUCCUGUACAUAAUUAUCAUUUCUUUCGAAGUAACCUGGAUAUUCGCAAUAAAUGAUGGCGGAUACCGCUGCGGUCAGUGCCGUGCCAAAGAUGACCUCCAAUCUGACGUUACCCUGUUUGAGCAAGCUGUACAGUGUGUACUCGUCGCCGUUUCCUGACAGACUGACUACGUUUUGGAGCACGCUUUCUUUUCAUCUGAGAUUUGGCUUGUUCGACGACUUGCUGAGUGGGGGAGACCAUGUUAAGGUUUACCUUGCGUGCAGGAACGAAGUAUGGAACAUCGAACGAUUGAGACCAGUUACAUACCCUUAUUGCUCUAACCGGGCGUAGGAGCGUUUCCUUUUCACCAUCGACGAAGCUGUCGUCACAGAUGUCGCUGUGUUCCACCCACAAGAAUCGACUGAAUACGUCUAUGACAACCAGCAGGAAUCGAAUACUACCGUUCUGUUUAGAGAGAUUCGAUACGUCGGCAAGAUCGGCCUGAAAUUGCUCGUAUGGACCGGCUACUUCCACUCGUGCUCUCUUAAAUGAACGCUUAACUGGCUUUUGUAAACUGUAAUCGUCUAGACUCUGAAUAUAUCCUCUAAUCUUGUACAGACCCGGUGAUGUGAAUCCUUGAGAUCUCAAUACUUGAUGAACUUUCGUUGGACUCAUAAAUCCACCUCCGUUUUCGAGGUUGUAAUAUACAUCAUCUAUACGUCGCUUCUCUUCCUCGGUUAACAUUUUGAAAGAUAAUGAGAUAGUCAUGUAUCAUAUUCAGUGUUUUAUUACAAAGUGUUUUACAAUUUUUUACAACUUUUUAUAAUGGUUUAUGAAACCAGUCUUCUACACGAUUCAUGGAUUUGACCAUUUUAAUAAUACAUUUUUUUUUCCAUUUUUCCGUUUUGAGUUCAUUCACUCUCCAUUCGGCAUUGCAUAAUUGUCCUAUAUAAGCGUUUCUAAUCCCUCUCUGAAUUUCAAAGCGGAUUGUUUCUCGUAUAAAAUCGCGAAUGACAACAAUAUCAUCCAAAUGAAUAAAAGCA